AGACUUGCAGUCCUUCUCCACAGCUGUGUUCUUUGCCGAUCGCAGAUUGCAGUCCUUUGUGAUUCCAGGAUAAAUCCAUUUUGCUGGUAAAAUAACUGGCUGUUUCCUUGUUUUAGGUUAGCAACCCCCUCCCAAGGCCAAGGCCACACCUGCUUCAAAGCAGGCUUGAAGAGCAGACUGGAAGCCUCCUAUGACGGAAGCUAGGUUCUUUGGGACUCAGUGACCUCUGUGCUGAGCGGAUACUCCUUCAGAAAGGCUUUUCCUUUGUUCUUCCAGAGACCCAGCGCCUCGUCUGUUUCCCUACGUGUGGCUCUAGGUGGCCUGAAAAAAGCAAGUUAUCCUGACGGCAUCUUCAGCUGCACGACUUGCUGACCAGCCCCGUGCUCGGCCUGAGAGAGGGAACCUUAGUAGAGGAUGUACCGGGGCCAGAGCCGGAGAAGGACGUUUUGGACCCAUGGGCGCGCCUGUUCACAGCCACAGAGGCUCGGAGAGCCUGCGUGUCCAGGACGAUGCGUAUCAGGAGAGGGGGUCCCUGGCUGUGUUCCCGCUCUGUCCUCCCUAUAGCUCCCCGCACACCCGGAUGUGGCCCUGUGGAGCCGGCCCCCGGGGGCCCGGCAGCUCUCAGAGCGUCUGAGAUGCUGGUCUCCCUGGAAGGCUGCUUCCUCUGCUCAAAGUGGCCCUCCGUUUCUCACUUUUCUGUUUCGAAGGCUGCAUACGAGUGUACCUUCGGCAUGCGUCUCUUUUGGAGAACCUGUCACCUUGAAAGUCGUGCUGCCCAUACAGCAACCCCCGCCCCCCCAGCAUGGGGAGGGGCCCUUCCCGAAGCCAGUGACCAAGAAAGAAUGCUUUUCUCGCUUGCUGAAGCCGAAGCCCUUCCCAGCCUGUGGGCUCUCACUCCCUCUGCCCCGGGUUCUGACGGCUUCUGGUGACCGGCAGCCCCGUCUGUCCCUUCACGCUCUCCCCGGUGCGACCGGGGGCCUCCACGGCCUGGGCCUGCUCGUCUCGGUCUGACCUCCGGAGGUCACCUCUCAGUCGCUCUCCUGAAACCACCUGCAGGUCUCUUGGCCUUGUGGCCUUGUGGGUGAUCUCAGGGCCCCCCAUUUCUGCUCCUCCCCAUGGACUGCUCCUGGGUCCUCUUCCAGAAAGCUCUCUGAGUCUCUGCAAGUGUUGGAGGCACUGUCUCAACCAGGACCCCCUUUCUCUCCUGCCUUCAGGGACUGUCCCCAGCUGCCAGCAUGCCCACUUUAUUUGCGCUCACACGGCCUCGAGCAGGUACCCCUGCCCUCUGGUCUCCAGAGAGUGACUGUUGGGAGCAAACGUUCUUGCCACGUCCUGGCUCCUUCCAACCCGUGCGUGUGCUGCCCAUCGCUUGGCCUUCUCCCUGGCCGUGCCGCGGCCCCCGCUCUGGAUCCCGGGCCGUUCUGCCUGCGUGAGGACCUCACCGCACCAGCGGGGCCCCACCUCCUGCCCCCGUCCGUCACCCCCCUGGCUCCCCAGUCCCAGCAGAUACAGGCUCCCAAGCCUUUACCUUCGCAGGGAGCUGCGCACGUGGGCCCUUGAGCUGUCUUUUCUGAACACCGCCCUCUCACAGCCAGAGAGGAGCCAGCACACUGGUGACGGCCUGCCCCCGCUCACUCCAACUCCUCAUCCCGCAGAAAGGCCCAUCACCCAGUCACUGAAAGUGCUCCCCAGCGGAUCACCCGAGGCCCGCCAGAUCCAAAUUUAGGAAUUCUCCACAUA
rnacentral:lncRNA from 1 species